rnacentral:rRNA from 1 species
UACGAAGGGGGCUAGCGUUGCUCGGAAUCACUGGGCGUAAAGCGCACGUAGGCGGCUUUCUAAGUCAGGGGUGAAAUCCUGGAGCUCAACUCCAGAACUGCCUUUGAUACUGGAAAGCUUGAGUUCGGGAGAGGUGAGUGGAACUGCGAGUGUAGAGGUGAAAUUCGUAGAUAUUCGCAAGGACACCAGUGGCGAAGGCGGCUCACUGGCCCGAUACUGACGCUGAGGUGCGAAAGCGUGGGGAGCAAACAGG